GAAUUCCUUCUCUGCUCUCCUUCUUCGACUACCAAACAAAUAACCAGACACCUCAAAUCUUUCCCCUCUCCCUCUUGUCUGAUGAUCGGAGCCGGAAGUCCGGCUGUAAUUCCGCCCAACCACACACGCAUACAAACAAAACCCCCCACCUCUGAUCGAUCUCCUUGCCGGCGACAGCUGGUAGUCCGACACCCACACCCACACGCACCCGGAACCCCUUCCCCUUCUCGCUUUCUGUUCUAUCACCGGUGACCUCUCCAUCACACACCAUCUUUAAGCUUCCUCAAAAGAGACCACCACCACCACUGUCGGGUGGUGGUGAGCGACGGUGAAACCAGGGGAGAGGAGAGAGAGACAGGAGGAGAGAGAACGAGGGAUGGCGGAGCUCAGCAGCAGCGGCAGCGGUGGUAGGCAACUCGGUCCGGCGGUCGAGACUCGACCCGGUGGUCCGAGACCCGGUCCGGCGGUCGGCGACAAGGACCGGCGGUCCAUGUCUUUAUCUGGCGAAUUUCACCGUUUCAGGUCGGGUCUUUUUUUUCAGCUUCGGGUUCAGAUUCAAGGGUUCGGGUUUCAGUCAAACUCGGUCACAGGUCCGCAACUUUAGUUCGGGUUUCGGGUCAGCGGGUUCGAAGGUGGUUCAGAUUCAGUGGUUCGGGUUCUUGGUCAAAACCAGGCAACGAAGUCACAUGGUUCAACGGUGCAGGUUUUGGAUCGGCUCGUGUCGCGGUUCAUGCUUCGGGUGGACUCGGUUAACUGAGUCAACUCAUUCACCUCGGUCAAACCAAGUCAACUCGGUGAGUCGACUUGGUCAAACCUGGUCAACGCGCUAAGUCAGCUCGGUCAACCCAGUUGACUCGGUCAAUUCGGUCAACACGUUCGGCGUUUUCGACAUGGGGAUUUGGUAAAGUUUAACGGCGAAUUAAUUUGAAUUUAUAUAGUUUUAUUAAUUUCGUGAAACGAGCUCGAACCGGUUCAGAUUAGUAUUUAGUUACAUUUUGUCGUUUUUAUAAAAAUAUAUAGAUAUUGAUGAUUGAAAAAUUAU